CCGACCUUAACUCAGUUGGUUAGAGUGUGAGACUGUAAUGGCUAAACAUUUAAUCUCGAAGUCGCCUGUUCAACUCAGGCAGGUCGGA